AAAAGUCGUAACAAGGUUUCCGUAGGUGAACCUGCGGAAGGAUCAUUACCAAUUUAAUCCAAAAAUACUACAACCCUUGUGCAUUGUGAUAUUGUUUGUCUUUGGGGUGGCCGUUCUGUUUUACGCAAAAUGUUUGCUGCCCCACAUUUGUUCAAAACAUUCUCAUUUUUGUGGCAUCUUUUGUCUUAAAUAUAAAUGGACAACUUUUAACGGUGGAUCUCUUGGCUCGU
rnacentral:misc_RNA from 1 species